GACGAACGCUGGCGGCGUGCUUAACACAUGCAAGUCGAACGGAAAGGCCCUGCUUGUGUGGGGUGCUCGAGUGGCGAACGGGUGAGUAACACGUGAGUAACCUGCCCUUGACUGUGGGAUAACUUCAGGAAACUGGGGCUAAUACCGGAUAGGAGCUCCUGCUGCAUGGUGGGGGUUGGAAAGUUUCGGCGGUUGGGGAUGGACUCGCGGCUUAUCAGCUUGUUGGUGGGGUAGUGGCUUACCAAGGGUUUGACGGGUAGCCGGCCUGAGAGGGUGACCGGCCACAUUGGGACUGAGAUACGGCCCAGACUCCUACAGGAGGCAGCAGUGGGGAAUAUUGCACAAUGGGCGGAAGCCUGAUGCAGCAACGCCGCGUGCGGGAUGACGGCCUUCGGGUUGUAAACCGCUUUCGCCUGUGACGAAGCGUGAGUGACGGUAAUGGGUAAAGAAGCACCGGCUAACUACGUG
rnacentral:rRNA from 1 species